rnacentral:rRNA from 1 species
UCCCUAGUACGAGAGGACCGGGAAGGACAGACCUCUGGUGUACCGGUUGUUCCGCCAGGAGCAUCGCCGGGUAGCCAUGUCUGGAUGUGAUAAGCGCUGAAGGCAUCUAAGCGCGAAGCCAACUUCAAGAUUAGAUUUCCCAUUGCGGCUUCGGCCGCAAGUAAGGCCCCCUGAAGACUACAGGAUUGAUAGGCCGCAGGUGUAAGGCAAGCAAUUGCUUCAGCUGAGCGGUACUAAUCGGCCGAGGACUUGACCCUCA